rnacentral:rRNA from 1 species
UGAGCCAAGUUUAGGGUUUUCUCAAAACCCAAGCAGUAUUGAACUGAAGAGUUUGAUCAUGGCUCAGAUUGAACGCUGGCGGCAGGCCUAACACAUGCAAGUCGAGCGGUUGACGG